GUCCCUGAGAAGUGUGAACUCAAACUUAACCUAUAAAGGUAGUGAGACACACAUAGAGGGAAGACUUGGGGCCAACAGAAAUUUUUCACUGAAGAUGUGUCCCAAGUAGGAUUUCCAACCAUACUCCAGCUUAUCUGCUUAGAGAGUUGAGAGUGGGAAUGACUGGCCCCGAAUCACUUAGCCAUUUCUGGCCAGAGAAGGGGGUUUCAUGAUACAAAAAAAUCAUUGGGAAUGAUAGCAUGAUGGAUAAACACCUGGCCUGGAAACCAGGAACACCUGAAUUUGAAUUCUGCCUCAUA